CUCCCACCGCACGCAGGACGGGGGCUAAGCCAAGGUGGCCCCCGCCUCCAGGGUCCCCCACCCCACUCCCACAUCCCGCAGGGCCCUGAGCCCCCAGACCCACCCCACCCCACUCACCCAGGGCCGGGCUGGACCCUCACGGGGCAGCGGGGCAGCAGGGACGCCGGCUGGGACCUGUCCCUCCCGGGCCCUCUUUCAUUUUCCCUUUCGGGUUGGAGCCGGGAUGGAGGACAGGACAGGGUGGCUGAGGGGCUCACCUCCCCCUUCUCUUAAAGGGACAGGGACAGGGUGACCCUGCUGAUGGCAGCUCCACCCUGGCCAGGCUGUUUCCAUCCCCCGUGCCAGCCCCUCCCGGGUUAUCACCGCCUGCAGAUGGGGCUGGGGUCACCCGGAGCUGCAUCCUGUGCCAGGUGACCGGGGCCCACCGCAGCUGGUGUCCCUGGCAUGUCUCGGGGCUGGCAUUUAGGUGUCACCUUCUGCCCCUGCUCCCACUAGGCUGUGGCCACUCUGGGCCGGGAUCGCCCGGCAGUCACCCGAGGAGGCCGGCCAGCUGCCCCCAGGAUUUGGUCUGUCCAGCACCGUGUUCACACUCAGGUUCCCACUGUUGCGGAAAACCCCAGAAAGCACUGUGUGGAAACCCAGGAGGUGCCCAGCAGGGCCAGCCUUGGGCCUAAACAAAGUGGGUUUCUUGCGUAAAAACUCCCAAGGACCUGCGGUCAUGCCAGGUGUAACCGGGUCAGGGUCCGGCUGAGUGGGACAAGGCCUCCCGGCCCACCCGCUGGCUGCCACCCAGUGACUCGCGGGGCGUGGUGGGUGUCCUCAGCGGGCAGGUCGGGCACCACGCUGUGCAGGGCGACAGACCGGGUGGGCGGGUGUGUGGGAAGCCUGUGAACGCGGUUCCUCCGGUGCUGUCCAAAGAGGGACCGCAAGCCAGCCUCGCCUGUCAGCCCAGAGCUUGGGAGGCUGAGGCCGGAGCAUCAGACCGAGUUCAAGGCCAGCCUGGACUAGACUCUGUCUCAAAAGAAGAGGAGCUCCCUGUGACCUGGCCCGAGCACCGGGUCGGAGGACGCUGCCCCCUCGCCCGCACCCUGGGUGCCUGGCGCCCCGGCAGCCUGCUGGGGUCUGGAGAGGCUCCGGGCUGUGGAAAUCGAGGAACAUCUGUGAUCAGUUCCCGGUGUGGCCCAGUUCUUUGCUUCCGAACCAGAACUGUGUUACUUUUAUGAACAACAACAGAAAAGGCAUUUUUGUUUUGAUAGAAAAUAUUUGCUGGUUUGAAAACUACAGAAGAGUCCAGAAAAGAAGAUAGAAACCACCCAAAUUGCAUCCAGAGAAGCAGCUGAAGUUCGGCUGUGACCGCUGUGUGCCCAUUGGUGCCCAGGGCAGCGGUUCCCAACAUCAUGGCACUGAGAAUCAGCAGGACGGCUCGCUGAACAAAGGCUCCCAUCCUAGCCCUCGGAGGCUGCGGCAGGAGGAUCGCAAGGCCAAGUCCAGCUUGGGCAACUUUGUGACACGCUGUCUCAAGAUACAGAGGAGAGCCUGGGUUCAGUGACCAGCAGCGCAAACCCAAGACAAGUGCUUCUCAGCCGGCGGGCCUGGGUGGGACGGCGCCUGGCGUCUCUCACUCCCGGGCCCAGGGAACACACGGCAGAGUGACUGGCCUUCGGGUUAUGCCUUCGUUAUUUCAAGAAGGGGCCACAACCUGUGGUGCUGGCAUCACUCGGGAACUUGUGAGAAAUGCAGAAUCUGAGGCCCCAGCCCAGCCCCAUUGAAUCGGAAGCUGUACUUUCUCAGCAGGACCCCUGAACACUCUGUAGCUGGCGUGGUGCUGCACGCCUGUCAUCCCAGCGCUCAGGAGGCUGAGGGAGGAGAGUUGCGUUUUCAAGGUCAGCCUGGGGUACAUAGUGAGACCUUGCCUCAAAAAGAAAGCACCGAUGUGCGCAGGACUGGCUUAUAUUUUGAGCAUUAUACUGUGUUACAGAGCUUCGCCCUAGAUCACUGAUACAAUUUACACACAAUAAAUGUGCCAUUGUGGAGCUCUGAUAAAAUUACACAGGACCGUCUCCCAUCUUUUCUGUCUGCUCACCAGGACUUUCCUGUACAGUUAAAUGUUUUGGGAAAACAGGAUCUUUCUUUGCAGUGCAGGUUGUCCCUGAACUCACUGUGUAGCCCAGGGUGGUCCAACUCAGUGAUCCUCCUGUCCCAGC
rnacentral:lncRNA from 1 species